AUCCACAUUUAAUAAAUCUGCUCAAUGAUUUUUUAAAUUGCUGUGGUAUUUUGACUAUACAAAGGUAUUGAAAUAAGACUUUAAUUGAGUGCUAAGAGAAUGGAAUUACAGGAAAAAUCUUUUUUAAACUUAACAAUUAAAGUUAUUUUUACUUGUGAAGAAGCAGUAAUAAAAAUUAAGGACAAGAAGACCCUAAGAAUUUUUCGAUACAUAUUUCAAUAAAGAAAAUAUGUUUCUUUAAUUGGGGCGAUUAAUUAAUAUUAAAAACUUUUUUGAAAAAACAUGAACCGUUUAAUAGCGGUAAAUUGGUAAAAAUACUCUAGGGAUAACAGCGAAAUAAUUUUUGAUAGUUCAUAUUGACAAAAUAGUUUGCGCCCUCGCUGUUGGAUUAGGGGAUUUUUUUAAUGAAGAAGGUAAAAAAAAAAGUUGUGCACCAUUCACAUG
rnacentral:rRNA from 1 species